GACGAACCGAGCGAACGUUAUUCGGAAUCACUGGGCUUAAAGGGCGCGUAGGCGGGCGGCCGAGUCCGGGGUGAAAGCCCCCAGCUCAACUGGGGAAGUGCCUCGGAUACUGGUCGCCUCGAGGGAGAUAGGGGCGUGCGGAACUUCCGGUGGAGCGGUGAAAUGCGUAGAUAUCGGAAGGAACACCGGUGGCGAAAGCGGCGCGCUGGAUCUCUUCUGACGCUGAGGCGCGAAAGCCAGGGGAGCGGAACGGG
rnacentral:rRNA from 1 species